UCAGAGCAGCUACGGGUGAUUAAACACAAGAUGGAAACCAUAGAAGAGCGCCUGGCGGACCAUGAAGAUCGGGCGCGCAGAAAUAACCUAAGACUUCGUGGAGUCCCAGAAACGGUUCUGCCAGAGGACCUACAAGCUUAUGCGAGAGGCCUAAUGAGGGCAUACGCUCCUGACAUACCUGCAGACAUGCUCCUCGUGGACAGGAUACAUAGGGUGACAAAGCCCAAGAAUCUGCCAGACUCCAUACCACGCGAUGUCCUGCUCAGGGCCCACUAUUUUCAUAUCAAAGAAUUGGUCCUGCGCUCCCACCGCACCAGAGAGAACCCCC